rnacentral:tRNA from 1 species
GUGGAUGUGGCUCAGUGGUAGAGCACUUAAACCCUUGUGAGCCCUGGGUUCCAUCCCCAGCACCACA